UCUGAUUGUAUUUCCUCUUCCUCACUGAUAACAACAAAGUUCAAGUAAGAGAGAAGCAGAGAGAAUUAAAGUGGUGAUUAUGGGUUCUGAAACUUUUAUUGAAGUGAUAUUAGCAAUCCUUUUACCUCCAGUUGGUGUUUUCCUCCGUUAUGGCUGUGGUAUUGAAUUUUGGAUAGAUCUGCUGCUGACUCUGCUCGGAUACAUUCCUGGGAUCAUAUAUGCCAUAUAUGUACUGGUUGCAUGAUAUGAAUAUUAUUUCUCUUUUAUUCAUAAUAUAGCUUUUAUUAUGUGUUUCUACACUUAUUUUUCGUUUCCAACAUCGAUGAGGUAGAUACAUAAGUAAUUCGGAACAUUAGUAUAAUUUACUUUCAUUAUAGUUUAGGAUUUGAAAUUGUCGGAACGUAUUUAGUUUACUAUUCCACUGGC
rnacentral:sRNA from 1 species